CAUUGUAAUAGGACGUAGGUCUCAUCCUACAGCACUUAUCCAUAACUUUCAAGUGGUUCUAAUUGCAUCUGUUAACUCUGGGUACGUGUACUUAAACGCACUACGUGGUUGUUAAACCACAUGACUUUUCGGUAGCAACGAGUCCCAGAAGAAAUCAAGCUCAAAUUCUAGUCUCUAAAACAUUAGGAAGAGGUGCAAAUUUAGCCAAAGUCUAGGAUCUUAGACUUAAGGAGACAUGAGCCAUCUAACCCCACAUAUAAAUAAGAUGCCCGUGGUCGUGAGGCAACUUGCACCGUAAACCAUCCACGUAUCAAAGAAUAUCACAAAUUUUGCCUAUUACCAACUGAUUUUUGUUUUUUACAAUGACGUUCUUGAAUGUGGGAAAACAACUUUAGAAACGUUUUAGGAAGGUCUCAACUUCCAUUACAGGAAAUAUCAAAUAGGCCUGAGAAUGUCAUAAAACUCAUACUUUCAGUUUGAAGUACCCUAGGGCUGGACACAGUGAUAAGUGCAAAGGAAGCAAAAACAGGUCAUACUGUGUCAAUGUAAACUCAGAAAAGUAGUAGGGCAUAAAGACAGACCAGCGUCGGUUUAAACAAAAAAGCUUUACACUCAUGUAUAUGCAAUGAAGCUAUCUCUAGUUUUAAGAAAAAUCAAUCUGGAGCCCAAACCGAUUACUGUGCUACACACAUACAUACAAGAUGAUUCAACGUUGUAUCACAAGUGAAAAAACAAAAAAAAUAAAACCCUAUGUUUCGUGUUACAUCUCAUCUCGGCGACGAGACUUUGACACAUCUGUCCUUGUCGCGAAGACAUCAGGCAGGCAGGCCUGGCACGCCGCACAGGUGCUCAGUGCUGCGUGCCUCCUCUUUCUGGGCCACAUGACUUCUACUGCUCUUAAUCUCAUUUCUGAAACACUAUUUCCGGAGGCGCAGACCGCUCUCCGACUCGAUCGCCUGGAGGAGCUACCCUGGAAGCCCUAACGAAGAUCGGCCUGCCACAUGCAACUUCCAGUCACCUUGCCAUUUGCAAAAGAUCUACAGUAUUGCCGAUUCCUACCAUCUACCCUUUAUUUGUAAUACUCUUCGAAUAUACACCGAUGCUUUGGAAAUGUCUUUGAACAGCAGCGGUUCCAUGAAAACAAAAUUGUCUGGCUUCUUGCAAGAACUGGAAGAUUAUUUGUUGACUUGGAGGUAAACGGAAAGUAGUUCUCCUUUGACCAGUAGUUUAAAAUAAUUGCCUAAGCCUUUUUUCAUUUGAAAUUCAUUUAUUGAGAGACUCACAAGAUUCAGGAAACCUCUAAAAAAGGCUUCUGCUACUACUUCCUUUUCUUCUGAUCACUUCCUGCUUUUAACUAGCUAACUUGAGCCUUACUGAUAAAGCCUGCAAAACAUGUUAUUUUUCCAACGCUGAAUUUAGAUUAUGUUAAAGCAAGCAUGUAUAAAUCACUUGUAGCUAGACAUGGUGACACAUGGUGGUAACCUCAGUACUGGGGCGGCCCAGGCAGCAAGAUCACCAUGUGUUCAAGACUGGCUUCAGUCAUAUAGGGUGUUAAGGUCAGCCUAAGUACAUAUUGAGAACCUGUGUCAAAAAUAUAUAUAUACAAAUAGUUUAAUACAUAUAUAAUGCCAUAUAUAUAUAAUGGUCAUCUAGAAAAUGGGAUAAUACCGGUGCCUAAUUCAUAAGGUUAUUUUGAGGAUUAGUGAUACAGGCAAGCCCUUAGAAGAGUGCUACCUAUUAUUACUGUCUCAUGGGAAAAUGAAUUUUGUGGUCAAAACAAUUGGCAGUAGUUAUCAAAUCAUUAUGACUUAUGGUUCGAUGUCUCCCCCCAAGCCUCAUACACUUAUAGCUGGGGCUUUUUCAGAGGUGGCUGGAUCUAGAACAUAUGAUGCUGGGAUGAAGGGUGUGUGAUUACUAAGUUAGUCCAUUGAUUAGUGUAAUACCCACCCUAAAACAGGUGGCGUAGACUAUAAAAGGAGCAGGAAGAAGCUGCUACUGUGGCCUGUGGCAUAUUUCUGCUGCUGCUUGUCUUCUAAUUUGUGGUGCCUCUCUGUCAUGAUACACUAUCUUGGACUGAAACCUCUGCAAACCAUAAGCCACAAUAAACCUUUUCUCCUUUAA